rnacentral:lncRNA from 1 species
CUUCUAUGUUCUAAGUUUCUGCUUAAGACUUUAAAUCUUUUCUUUAAAAAAAAAGUAAACAUUAUGAUAUAAACUUCAUAAAGCGUAAACUAUCUAAAAUAAAAAGUAUGAUAAGUUGCGCAAGAAUUCAUCACAAGAAACCCAGUUCUAAAAGUAGAAGCUAAUAUGGUCCAGUUGACCACAGCUCUCUCUAAGUGACCUGCUUUCUGCCAGCGUGACUGCCACACAAUUGGACACCGCAGGAUCAGUAGAUGGAACCCAAUGCCUUCAUGCCUCUACCCAAGCACACAGCUCAGUUUACCAAGGACAUAAACCCUACUACAGGGGAAGGAACUUCAUACUGCAUUUCAAUAAGGCAUGAGGAGCAGAGUAGGGAGAAUUGUGGUUUCUUUAAAAACCCAGUUAUGUGAAUAUGUUUUUGUUUUAAUCCCAGGUACGACAUAAAAGGCUGCUUCAUAGCAGGUGACUAUGAUUUGCCUUGUGCUCCAGCAGGGAUGUGGUUUUACCAGCUGCACAUAGUUUCUUCAAGUGGGUAGACAAGAGUGUUAGGAGGCAGAUUAGAGGGACAUACCUCUUUCUGGAUCACUGGGAGCAUACAUUGUCAGAGAGCACUGUUAAACAUGGUUGGAGCACGGCUCAUGUCAACGGCCUUUCCCUUAUACCUGGCAGCCACCAGCAGGGAGCCAUGAGCAAGCGCACCCUAUAUUGACUACCAGCCAAAUUGCCCUCGUGACACCCAGGCUGCUGUGGACACUCUAGAGUCACUUUGGGGUCACUUCUGCAGCUGCAGAAGACCACCACUCCCUCUGCUGAAGACACACUUCAGACAGAGUAGCCUUGGAAACAGCAUUCAAAGCAAGAUGGGCCUCAGAAAAGUCUAAAUGGCCAUUUCACCCUGGCCAGAGGAGGGGCCCUUUCCCUAGUGACCCAGCAAAGGCCUCUGACUGGUGCAAACACAGUCCUUCAUUUGCAUGAGGGAUUGCAUGUGCCAUGGUUGGCACCAACGCCUUGCCACACCCUCUUCUGGCUCUAUAAGCAGGCCAUUCACUCUUGUAGCCGGCCAGGAAACACUCUCUUUUGCAUACCCUGAUGUACAAUUUUAGGCCUAAUAAAAGGUUUGUCUAGGGGGCUGGAGAGAUGGCUCAGCAGUUAAGAGUGCCGACUGCUCUUCUGAAGGUCGUGGGUUCAAAUCCCAGCAACCAAAUGAUGGCUCACAACCAUCUAUAAUGAGAUCUGAUGCCCUUUUUUGGAGUGUCUGAAGACAGCUACGGUGUACUUACAUAUAAUAAAUAAAUAAAUCU